UGGCAAAUGAUGAUGUGACCACUGAGCAAUCUGAGCUCUGGGAAACAGGUGAUAGAGACUAUGUCUCAAGGCAAGACCAGGAUGACA